GGGGCUAUAGCUCAGCUGGAAGAGCACCUGCUUUGCAAGCAGGGGGUCAGGAGUUCGAGUCUCCUUAGCUCCA
rnacentral:tRNA from 1 species